rnacentral:rRNA from 1 species
GACGAACGCUGGCGGCGUGCUUAACACAUGCAAGUCGAACGGUGAUGGCCAGCUUGCUGGUCUGAUCAGUGGCGAACGGGUGAGUAACACGUGAGCAACCUGCCCUUCACUCUGGAAUAACUACCGGAAACGGUGGCUAAUACCGGAUAUGAGACGUACACGCAUGUGUCGCGUCUGGAAAGAUUUUAUCGGUGAAAGGAUGGGCUCGCGGCCUAUCAGCUUGUUGGUGGGGUAGUGGCCCACCAAGGCGACGACGGGUAGCCGGCCUGAGAGGGCGACCGGCCACACUGGGACUGAGAUACGGCCCAGACUCCUACGGGAGGCAGCAGUGGGGAAUAUUGCACAAUGGGCGCAAGCCUGAUGCAGCGACGCCGCGUGAGGGAUGACGGCCUCGGUU